GGGCUCCAUGAUGAAUGGUUUGGGAGCACUUCCCUCUCUCUGUAUUUGAUAGUCUGGGCAGUGAAGAGAUGGCUGACAGUGUCAAACCCUUUCUGCAGGAUCUUGGCAGGGGAAUCAAAGACUCCAUCUGGGGCAUCUGUACCAUCUCGAAGCUAGAUGCUCGGAUCCAGCAGAAGAGGAGCAGCGUCGAAGAAGGGCAAGUAGCCUCUUGGCCCAGAGGAUACCCCAGAGUGUAGAGCGGAAGCAAGAGAGUGAACCACGUAUUGUUAGUAGAAUUUUCCAGUGUUGUGCUUGGAAUGGUGGAGUAUUCUGGUUCAGUCUCCUCUUGUUUUAUCAAGUGUUUAUUCCUGUGCUUCAAUGGGUAACAGCCCGGAUUAUUGGAGAUCCAUCACUUCAUGGAGAUGUUUGGUCAUGGCUGGAAUUCUUCCUCACAUCAAUUUUCAGUGCUCUUUGGGUGCUCCCCCUGUUUGUGCUUAGCAAAGUUGUGAAUGCCAUUUGGUUCCGAGAUAUAGCUGACUUGGCAUUUGAAGUAUCAGGGAGGAAACCUCAUCCAUUCCCCCAGUGUCAGCAAAAUAAUUGCUGACAUGCUCUUCAACCUUUUGCUACAGUCACUUCUCCUUAUUCAGGGCAUGUUUGUGAGUCUCUUCCCCAUCCAUUUCGUGGGUCAGCUGGUUAGUCGGCUGCAUAAGUCUCUUCUCUUUUCACUGUACUGCUUUGAGUACCGUUGGUUCAACAAAGGAAUUGAAAUGCGCCAGCGAUUGUCGAACAUAGACAAAGCCUUAUUGCUUUGGGAUUGGCUUGCCCUUGGCUUUCCUCACAGCAAUGCAAUCUUCCUACAUUAUCAGUGGCUGCCUCUUUUCCAUCCUGUUUCCUUUAUUCAUCACCAGCGCCAGUAAAGCAAAGACUCCUGGAAAAGCAUAUCUUUUCCAGUUGCGCCUCUUCUCCUUGGGGGUCUUUUUAAGCAACAGACUUUUCCACACGACCGUCUACCUGCAGUCAGCCCUGAGCAGCUCAUCCUCUGCAGAGAAAUUCCCUUCACCGCAUCCUUCUCCUGCCAAACUGAAAGAUGCUGCAGGCCACUGAGCCCUGCUGUCAAAGGGGUGGGUGGGACUGGGUGGAGGAUGUGGCAGCUCUUUUCUCUGUUUUCCUCCCCCUGCCGUGGAAGGCAGAACCCACUGCCAAGGGCCCUCUGCAUAUUCCCUUGUCUUUGAAUUGGAAUCUUCCUGACUCCAGUAUAUGGAUUUUUACCACCACCCUAGGUCUGGAAGGACCAGAGUUUUCCAGCUGUUUUUUUAGCAUUUGCCAGCUCCUGUGCCUGGACUGAUUGAUUUGAGUG